GUCACAGCAAUGGCAGCUGAUGGCUCUAAGCUGUUGCGCCUACUGAACACUCUCUGCACAGCGUUUACAAAAAGAGACCUUUAACCUCUCUCUCCCUACACUAAUGAAACUCACACGACAAAAUGAUGAAAUAAGUAUUCACUGCAAAUAAAUAAUAAACCGAGAAUUAAUUACGCAAAGAAAUCCCAUAAAAACUGAUUACAAUGGAAAACAUCAUGAGCAUUAUAACGGACUCAUUACGUAUUAUUUAACCCCUUAAGGACACAUGACAUGUGUGACAUGUCAUGAUUCCCUUUUAUUCCAGAAGUUUGGUCCUUAAGGGGUUUAAAAAGUGUCAACAAAUUCUGUAGCGCUGUACAAUAGGCAAGCAUUCUACUGAAUCAUGAUGCAGGAAUUCUACAUUCAAACAUGACGCUCCAGCGCUAUUCAGCGUCUCAACAUCACAUUGCAUUCUUCGCUUUUAUAUAUUACAUCAUAAUUUAUGUUUCAGCUAUGAAUCCUAACCAUGGGAGGCCUACUGCGGAGAAAUUAUUGGACAUUGCUAUGCUAAUUCAUACACAUUAUCAAAGCACAAAGUAGGAGAGAAACGAGGAAUACAUUUACUUAUAUUAACAAAUAUUCCACGGCUCAUGCCUUUGCAACAACAUACUUGUACAAAGAAGAGUAUUAGAGGACUAAUCCCCAAUAUGAUUACUCAGUACAUCAUGAGAAGAAAAACAGCACACCUGGCAAAUAUUGCAUCCAGGAUAAAUUAU